rnacentral:lncRNA from 1 species
CAGUUGUUACAUUGGACACACUGUAAGCAAGACAAAGAGUCAUCUAAAGAAAUCACAACUCGGGGCAAUCAAGUCAGCAUAACUCUGCGUCCCAUAUCUGACUGCAUCUAAAUUUAGAAGUUUUCGUUUUGAAGACAGAAUUUUGUUUUUAGCUAUUUUCAUGUUCUUACCCAGGAAACAUCCAUGAAUCCUUUCGUUUGAAAGCUGUGACAAAGAACUCAUUUCAGUUCAGCUUGGGUUAUUCUUGGCAACUUUCAAAGAACAAGAUAGAUGUGUUCUAUGUGAAACAGAUGAGAGUUUUGGACAACCCAUUUGUGAGGCGGAUAGCUGAGAAACAGUUGAGUCUCAGCUGUCACCUCCUGAGCGCCCUGAAGCUCUGCCCCUGCAUGUCUACAGACCUGGAAUUAAGAGCGACUUAGCAUACCUGAGCCACCUGUGAAGCAAUGGGAAACUGAAUCCAAAGGAUUAUAAAUACUACAAAAUAGUUUUGCAAAGUGUAACAAUUAAGACUCUUACCAUCAGUGUCUGGAAAUUACCAUUUAAAUACAUUUUGGGCAAAAAAAGUAUCAUCUGUCUUUUUAAUUUUAACAUUUUUGGUGAGAAAGAGAGUGUGUGUCUGUGUUUGUGUGUGUGUCACAUUUUGUUUUAACUUACAUUUUCUUAAUCAUUUGUAAUGUUUAAAGUCUUAUAUAUUUAUUGGGCAUUUGGGUAUUCUCUUUUGUGAAGUACCUUUAAAAUCUUUUUUUC